rnacentral:rRNA from 1 species
AACGAACGCUGGCGGCAGGCUUAACACAUGCAAGUCGAACGCCCCGCAAGGGGAGUGGCAGACGGGUGAGUAACGCGUGGGAACAUACCCUUUUCUACGGAAUAGCUCUGGGAAACUGGAAUUAAUACCGUAUACGCCCUACGGGGGAAAGAUUUAUCGGGGAAGGAUUGGCCCGCGUUGGAUUAGCUAGUGGGUGGGGUAAAGGCCUACCAAGGCGACGAUCCAUAGCUGGUCUGAGAGGAUGAUCAGCCACAUUGGGACUGAGACACGGCCCAAACUCCUACGGGAGGCAGCAGUGGGGAAUAUUGGACAAUGGGCGCAAGCCUGAUCCAGCCAUGCCGCGUGAGUGAUGAAGGCCUUAGGGUUGUAAAGCUCUUUCACCGAUGAAGAUAAUGACGGUAGUCGGAGAAGAAGCCCCGGCUAGCUUCGUG